AGCGGGAAGAGCCUAAACCUGGUUGCAUGUAUAAGGCUGCGACCGUUGUGCACCAGGGGUUGUGGGAUCUUGACGAGGUGUGUUGCAGAACACCUGGAGAGUCAGAAAAUCUGUUGAUAGUCGAAUUGUUCUGGAAAGACAAGCCAUAGUGGGUGAUAGCCCUGUAGACGAAAUCAUCAGAUCUCUUUUGUCGAGACACCCGAGUACUGCGGGGCACGUGAAACCCUGUGGGAAUCUGCCCGGACCACCGGGUAAGGCUAAAUAUGCUACUGUGACCGAUAGUGAACCAGUACCGUGAGGGAAAGGUGAAAAGUACCCCGGAAGGGGAGUGAAAUAGUACCUGAAAUCAUGUGCCUACAACCAGUCGGAGCCCCCAAGAGGGGUGACGGCGUGCCUUUUGCAUAAUGAGCCAGCGAGUUGUGGUAAGCAGCGCAGGUUAAGUCUUUCAGAGACGAAGCCGUAGCGAAAGCGAGUCUGAAUAGGGCGAAAUAGUUGCUUGCUGCAGACGCGAAGCCGGGUGAUCUACCCAUGGCCAGGAUGAAGCAUCUGUAAAAGGAUGUGGAGGUCCGAACCCACCAGAGUUGAAGAUCUGGGGGAUGAGCUGUGGGUCGGAGUGAAAGGCUAAUCAAACCUGGAGAUAGCUGGUUCUCCCCGAAAUAUAUUUAGGUAUAGCCUCGUUGAAUUCGUAGUGGCGGUAGAGCACAGUUGGGGUUUUGGGGGCGCAAGCUUACCGGAUCCUUACUAACUCCGAAUGCUAUUGCGUUUGAAAGCGGGAGACAGACUGUGGGGGAUAAGCUUCAUAGUCGAGAGGGAAACAGCCCAGACCAUCAGUUAAGGUCCUUAAAUAUCUGUUAAGUGGUAAAAGAAGUGGAGAUGCACAGACAGCCAGGAGGUUGGCUUGGAAGCAGCCAUCCUUUAAAGAAAGCGUAACAGCUCACUGGUCAAGUGUUUCUGCGCUGAAGAAUGUACGGGGCUAAACAGGUUACCGAAGCUAUGGCUUAUACAAGCCGUUUGUGUUUGUGUAGG
rnacentral:rRNA from 1 species